rnacentral:rRNA from 1 species
AUGAACGCUGGCGGCGUGCUUAACACAUGCAAGUCGAACGGAAAGGCUCCUGCUUGCAGGGGUACUCGAGUGGCGAACGGGUGAGUAACACGUGGGUGAUCUGCCCUGCACUUCGGGAUAAGCCUGGGAAACUGGGUCUAAUACCGGAUAGGACGAUGGUUUGGAUGCCAUUGUGGAAAGUUUUUCGGUGUGGGAUGAGCUCGCGGCCUAUCAGCUUGUUGGUGGGGUAAUGGCCUACCAAGGCGUCGACGGGUAGCCGGCCUGAGAGGGUGUACGGCCACAUUGGGACUGAGAUACGGCCCAGACUCCUACGGGAGGCAGCAGUGGGGAAUAUUGCACAAUGGGCGCAAGCCUGAUGCAGCGACGCCGCGUGGGGGAUGAUGGCCUUCGGGUUGUAAACUCCUUUCGCUAGGGACGAAGCGCAAGUGACGGUACCUGGAGAAGAAGCACCGGCUAACUACGUG